rnacentral:snRNA from 1 species
GUGCUUGCUUUGCAGCACAUGUACUAGCAUGGGAUGAAGAUGAGCGUGGUCCCCGCGUAAAGAUGACACACAGAUGCAAGAAAAGACUGAGUUACUG